rnacentral:scRNA from 1 species
CGCAUAGCCGUUAUGUCACUCUGCAACAUUGC